GGCGAACGGGUGAGUAACACGUGGGUGAUCUGCCCUGCACUUCGGGAUAAGCCUGGGAAACUGGGUCUAAUACCGGAUAGGAGCCAUUUUUAGUGUGAUGGUUGGAAAGUUUUUUCGGUGCAGGAUGAGCUCGCGGCCUAUCAGCUUGUUGGUGGGGUAAUGGCCUACCAAGGCGGCGACGGGUAGCCGGCCUGAGAGGGUGGACGGCCACAUUGGGACUGAGAUACGGCCCAG
rnacentral:rRNA from 1 species